rnacentral:rRNA from 1 species
UACGUAGGGUGCGAGCGUUAAUCGGAAUUACUGGGCGUAAAGCGUGCGCAGGCGGUCUGUUAAGACCGAUGUGAAAUCCCCGGGCUUAACCUGGGAACUGCAUUGGUGACUGGCAGGCUUUGAGUGUGGCAGAGGGAGGUAGAAUUCCACGUGUAGCAGUGAAAUGCGUAGAGAUGUGGAGGAAUACCGAUGGCGAAGGCAGCCUCCUGGGCCAACACUGACACUCAUGCACGAAAGCGUGGGGAGCAAACAGG